GCAGGUCUUGCUGCAGCUGCUGUGCGGGAUGGGGGUGAAGUUCCCAGGUCAAUCGAGUUGUGUCCCUAGGAGGAUUAUGGCUGCCUCUGCUGAGUCAUGCAGGUUGUCAGGGAAGUGGGGGAAAGCCAGCAGUCACAGGCCUCACCCAGCUCCCAUGCAAUCCAAAGGGCCAUUCUCACUCCCACCGUGCCCCCUCUCUGCAACAGCACUGAGUCUGUUUUCAGACAGUGGACAAGCAGGGCUGAGAACUUGCCCCAUGUUACCCACCUUCCAGCUGCAGAAGAAAAGGGCUUUAGUUCUUCCUGCACCUGUGGAGUCUACAUGCCGGAUAUGUGCCCUCCCCUAAGUUCUGGCCAAGAGGCUUCUCAACCAGUUCAAAUUGUUACAAAGUUCAGCUGAAGACUUCCUUCUCCCUGUGGCAUUUUCCCCGAAGGAUCCCUGUGGUGCCAGGCAGAAAUGGCCUGCUUGGGGACCCAGAGAGCUCCAAGGGCCUCUCCCACUGCUUCCUCUACCCCUGUAUUUCGCUUGGCUCUCCAAACUGACUCAGCUCCAGGUAAGGCUGGAAUCUUUUCCCGCAAACUAGACCUUCAGGUUCCCCAGUGGGGGUGUGUGUUUGGGGGUGGAUGAUCUCCCUUUCCCACUUCCACAGUUUGGGCACUCACGGUAUUUGGGGUGUCUCCCGGGUCCUGCAGGAGCAAUCCACUUCCUUCAGAGGGUCUGUGGGUCCUCUGGGAUUCCUGAUUUAUUCCUGCAGUCAUUCUGGAGCUAAAAUUCAUGAUGCGACCCUCCACACAGUGUUCUGUCCAUCCAAGUCAGAGCUGCAAUCUAGUCCUGCCUCCUGUCUGCCAUAAUCUUGAGUAUCUCUACUUCUACUUCUGUGGCACAGAAGGGCUCCCCAGCUCCUAUUCCCUGAAUCCUCCUCCUUCUCCCCUCUUUCUCUGUCUCUCUCCCUCAGUCUGUCGUCUUUAAUUUUUUUUAAUCAAUGUUUUGUGGUUUUUAGUGUACAAGUCUUUCACCUCCUAAGUAUUUUAUUUUUUUCAGUGCAAUUAUAAAUGGGAGUUUUCCUAAUUUUCUUUCCAGAUAGUUCAUUAUUACUUCACAGGUUUUUAAGGUAACUAAACAAAGAAAGAACAGGACAAAAAAAAAAAAACGCUUUUUAAUUCUAGUUUUCAUUCAAAUGUGUUUAUUGAGUACCUACCAUGUAAAGUUACUGUUUUAGCACUGGAAAUAUAAUGUUGAAAAAGUUAGGAAGGGUUUCUGCUCUCAUGAGCUUAUAUUCCAGUAGAGGAAGCAGUCAAUAAACAAUAAAUAUAAGUGCUAUGAGGAAAAAAUAAAGCAGGAUAAAAAGUUAGCCAUAGGAAUGGAUGGCUUUUUAGAUAGGAUGGUCAGGGAAGGUCUCACUGAUUGUUAACUCUUAAGACCCAAAUAAGGUAAGGGAGGAGACAUGAGACAAUAUGGGGGAAGUACAUUCUAGACAGAAACAAACAGCCCAUGCAUAGAUUCUGAGGCAGGAACAUACUUGGAUUUGAAGAGAAUAAGAAGGCCAGUUGGUUAGAGUGCAGAGAAGAAAGAGAUGAGGUCAGAGAGACUGGUGGGGUUGGAUUAGAGACAGAAAGAGGCUAGAGGGCCCUCAGGUCUUUGACUCUUACCAGUAUGGACCACCAGACCUGUGAGUGAGUAAUGUUUCAAAUUAUUCUAGCCCCAGAUCUCAAGCUGCUCUAUAGAGAUGAGCCUGCCCCACUGUGUCCUGUCUAAACUUCUGGCCCGCAGAAUCUGCGAGCACAAUAAAUGGUUGUUUAACACC
rnacentral:lncRNA from 10 species